ensembl:lncRNA
UCAUGGGAAAAUGAGGAUAUUAAUGGCGACGAUGUCACAACUUUGGGGGUUGGGGUACUGAAUACAUCUAGCAGAUACAGGCCAAAAUGCUGAUCAAUAUUCUAGGGUGCAGAGGACAGCCACCCACAGCUAGACUUACCUAGCCCAGAACGUCACCUGUGAUCAUGUAUCAAGCACCCCAAUGUCUGACACAGCCUGAGUGCUUGCUGCAUGUCAGCCUUCAGAAAUGGUCACAUGCGGUGUGGGGAUGAAGGCACUACAGGCUGCAGGUCCAGCCUUUGUGAAGAAUGGGGCUGCAUCCUUGAUGGAUGAAUCUGCUGCAUAGUUUUCAGUUGCUACAUUUUGUCAUUUUGUUCCUAGUAAAUACUGUGUGGGAGAUUAGAGGCUCAGGAGGAUGGGAAAGUCCAGAGCAGAGCCUGGGGGCCAGUGGCUGUCCUAGAUGGGCUGCAGGAAAGGGCUGAGGCCAAGGGGAGGACUCGGCCCUGGGGGACUGUGGGUAAGAAUUUCCACUAGGUCUCGCUGGGCCAUCUUCUCUGGAGGUCCCACCUGAGCGAGGUCAGCCUGCAGCUGGUGCAGAUGGGCUGACACUGGCGUUCUUGACAAGGGCCUGAGCUGUUGAAGGAGAAGGUGAAGCUUUGGGUAUUGUUCCAGAAUGUACCACUGGAUCUGGCCUCACUGACUGACCCCUCCAGGUCCCCUGAGGCCAACAUGGUCACGAGUUGGUCCUGGCGGGUCACCUGGGAAGGACUGUAAAAAUAGCCACAAACGCCUCACCUCCCUGCAGCCACGCCUCCAACGUGGUGUUGCAGCCCCUGCCACCAAGGUGGGGAGGCCACCUCCACCCUGUGACUCCGGCUUGGCCAUGACUUGUCUUGGUCAAAGGGACGAGAGAAACCUGAUGUGGUGAGCAGAGGCUGGAAAAGUGCUGUGUGCUGGGGCUUGCCCUCUGGGAGCUCUGUGACCACAUGAACGAGCCGAGGCUGGUGUGCUGGAUGCUGAGAGGUCACAGGAAGGAGAACCGAGGCGACUGCUCCAUCACUUGGGCAUCCUCCAGAAGCAGUCAUCCAGCUCACCUGCAGGCGCUGGCAAACACAUAAGGAAGCCCCGUUCAAGCCAGAGGCGCUGCCCAGCUGACCUGCACACUAGUGAGCAGUAAUCAAUGAUCAGUGUUUUAAUUCAGUAAACGUGCAGGUUGUUCGUUAUGCACUAAAAUUAACUGAUACAAAACCUUAACAGAAAGCACGGGGAGGACUAAAAGCCACUGCUUCAGUCUGGAACUGAGAACCUGGAGUCACGGAACUCUCCAAACCCAGGGGUGGAGCUGGACUGCUCUGCGGCCUCGGUGGGGAAGAGGGACCUCACAAGGAAAAGAAGAGUGAGGAGAGAGAACUCUAGAAGCAGACGUGGAUGUAUGCUAUGGCCAGAGCUCAGAGCACCAAGAGAAGAAUCCAUCUGGGGUGCAGGAGGAGACCCCUGUCCCUACCAUGUGCUCACCACAGAGACAGUCCCUGUGCAAGCCGGGCGACACCAUGGGGCUGGUGGCUCAGCUCUCAGUAGAGCCACUCCAUGUCCAGCGUGAGGUCCACAGGGUCAGGAUGGUGGAUGCAGAUGGUGUCAACUCCAGUAGCUGCUCCGUCCUUUCCAGCCUGGGGAAGGAAGGACAUGUGUAUGGGGAUGGGACAGAGGAGCAUCUCUGGUUGGACAUCCUUUCAUCAGCCCACUUGUAUGUGGAUGCCUGCUCAUCUGCUCUCCUGGUCCAGGCAUGAGCUGCUCACAAGGGAAGUGGCAUCUUCAAGCCACAAAGGCCCAGAGUGGAUGUUUAGAGUCAGACGUUAUCAGUUCAAAUCUCAGCUCUGUCACUUGAUGAAUAAUCCACAUAAGCUGCCAUGACUCAGUUCUGCCAUCUUGCAGUGUGAAAAAUGCUGGAACCACUUUGUUGGAAUGUGAUGGGAUUCAGACAUGAUUGAUACAAAAUACCCAGCCUGGGGGCAGGUACAUUCUAAGAGCUCAUCAAUUAAUUAAUUGCUUAAUUAAACAAAUGUUUUCAGAGCACCCACAGUCCCUAGGAAGACUGGACAGCAGCUCUGAACAGAGACUCAUCAGCUUUCAGAAAGCUGAUCCAACCCUCCAAUUUUUGGACCUGAGCUUCUGAGGCUCAGACACUGCACAGCAGAGACCCCCACCCACCACCCAUGUGCCUUUGCAUUACCAGCUCUCAGGGAAGCAGGAGAAAUGAGGCUGAAGGGGUAACCUGGGAUCCAGCAGGUGGCAGUGCUAGAGAGCAUGAUUGGGGAGAAAUGGAGUCUCCUUACUCCUCAGCAGGAUGGACGUGGCCUUGGGCUGAGCUGCUUCUGGCUCUGGUCUCCUAGAGACUUGAUAAAGGUGCAAUGUCAGCUGUGUUGCCUGGGACGCUGCUCACGGUGAAAAUGGCCCCUGGUUGAUGACCUGCAUCUUCUCUGGGAGGACCAUAAAUGGACACCAAUACCUGGCAGGAAGCUAUAGCUUUGGGUUUCCUUGGGUUAUGUGAUGACCCUGUUAACUUGAAAGAACUGUCACAAGAGCUUGGUUCCCCUAUGGGACAGGGAACAUCUAACCCAGGGUGGCUUCGGCACCCAUCCAUUCAGGUUUCAUUUCCUUGCACAGGGACAGUUACAUGGGAGGACAGAAGAACAGCCCUUGGACUGCCGAGAGGGUGCUGGCACACCGUCUUCUGUGUAUCCUUCUAGGGGAGCUGAAGUCAUGUCGGGCUAGUCAGGUCUGCAAGUCUGACUGUCUGAUUGGAUUCAGGAUAACCUACAGAGGGCAGUGCCCAGGACUGGCUCCAGGGCUGCGAACAGCGUGAGGUGAGCAAGGGCCUAGGUACUCCAUUUAAGGAGCGCUCGCUCUCAGGGUCAUGCAAGUACAGGGUUCGCACCUGAAUGCGAGCACCUCUUGAAAGACAUUCUGUAGCCUAGGGACCUCACAUGCCCACCCUAGUCUGGGCCAGGCCAGCCCAGCCAGCCCACACCUUACUUACCUCCUAGGGCCAGACAAAGAGGUCCCACCUUGGUGCGGUCAGUCUGCAGCCAGUGCAGAGUGAGCCGACGCUGCUGGUGGUGAGCAAGGGCUGGGCUGAGGAGGAGGGAGUGGGUGGAUGAAAAGAGAUGUGAACGUCCUCAUCGUAAGUACGAGCUUCCUUGAGCUUUCCACACCUUUUGACAGGGGCCACAUCAAAAACAUUCCGCUAUGGUUGGAAGGUAGCCCUGCUGUGGGAUAUGGCAUUUCCUAUGCUCAUGAGAGAGGAAAGGAUAAGGGUUUUCUGCAAGGACUGGAGUAGGUUGUGGGUGGGUUUGGGAGGGAGGCAGGUAAUACGGCUAUUAUUAGAGUGAAUGUGGACACAGACAAUAGAUUGUGAUAAUGCUUUGACAUAAUUUUAUCUACCUGAUCCCAGUGGUCAUUGCUCAGAGGCGGGCAAAAAGCUCCAAGCUCACAGAGAAAACAUUCCUCAGCCCUAAAUAUGUUAACGUGAUAAUCUGUUGAUGUCUAAAGUACUUACUGAAUGUUAGAUUAUCUGGAGGAUUUAAAAUAUGUCCACAAAUACUCCCUUCAAGUACUCCUCCCUCCAAGAGAUGGAACCUGUUCCCCUUGCCUUGGGUGGGGGCCGGACUCAGUGCUCGCUUCAAGCAAAUAAAGUGGCAGUGGUGGGUGUGGCUUUGGAGGCUGGGUCAUAAAAGGCCCUGAGGUUUCUGUCUUGAUUGCUUCUCUUUGGAUCACUUGUUCUGGGAGAAGUCGGCUGUCACAUCCUAAGGAGAGGUCCACUUGGCAAGGAACUGAAGCCUUGAGCUAACGGCCACAGGAGGGAGCCUCCUUGGAAGCCGUUCCUCCAUCCCAGUCACGUCCUCAGAUGACUACAGGCCCAUCUGACAUCUCAACUGUGACCUCAGGAGAGACCCUGAGCCAGAGCCACCAGCUCAACUAAGCUCCCGGUUUCCUAACCCUCAGAAACUGAGAGUUCACAUUUGCAUGAAAUUUUGCAUCCCCAAAUCUCAUUUAUUCCUAAUUCUACUCUUAGAAGAGCUUGUCCUUCUGGAUAUAUCUUAUAUAAAAUAAAGGAGUGGUAAUUCAAACCUCAGUUUUCUCCUCUGUAAAAUGGGGACCACAGGCUGACUUCAUAGAGCUGUUGGGUAAGAUACGCAGAAGUGCCUGCGACUGCCAGUGUCCACGUUACUAACAAGGUCGCGUCAGACUUCAAAAUCGAAGGAAACAAUAAUGUCGAUGAGACAAAGACGAGAUGCCAGUUCUGUAAGCGGCCCCAACAGCAUGAGAAUGAGAGGAGGUAU